UAGGGAAUCUUCCACAAUGGACGCAAGUCUGAUGGAGCAACGCCGCGUGAGUGAAGAAGGUUUUCGGACCGUAAAGCUCUGUUGUUAGUGAAGAAGGAUAGAGGUAGUAACUGGCCUUUAUUUGACGGUAAUCAACCAGAAAGUCACGGCUAACUACGUGCCAGCAGCCGCGGUAAUACGUAGGUGGCAAGCGUUGUCCGGAUUUAUUGGGCGUAAAGCGAGCGCAGGCGGAAGAAUAAGUCUGAUGUGAAAGCCCUCGGCUUAACCGAGGAAUUGCAUCGGAAACUGUUUUCUUGAGUGCAGAAGAGGAGAGUAGAACUCCAUGUGUAGCGGUGGAAUGCGUAGAUAUAUGGAAGAAUACCAGUGGCGAAGGCGGCUCUCUGGUCUGCAACUGACGCUGAGGCUCGAAAGCAUGGGUAGCGAACAGGAUUAGAUACCCUGGUAGUCCAUGCCGUAAACGAUGAGUGCUAAGUGUUGGGAGGCUUCCGCCUCUCAGUGCUGCAGCUAACGCAUUAAGCACUCCGCCUGGGGGAGUACGACCGCAAGGUUGAAAC
rnacentral:rRNA from 1 species